rnacentral:rRNA from 1 species
AACGAACGCUGGCGGCAUGCCUAACACAUGCAAGUCGAACGAGACCUUCGGGUCUAGUGGCGCACGGGUGCGUAACGCGUGGGAACCUGCCCUUAGGUUCGGAAUAACUCCCCGAAAGGGGUGCUAAUACCGGAUAAUGUCUUCGGACCAAAGAUUUAUAGCCUUUGGAUGGGCCCGCGUUGGAUUAGCUAGUUGGUAGGGUAAAAGCCUACCAAGGCGACGAUCCAUAGCUGGUCUGAGAGGAUGAUCAGCCACACUGGGACUGAGACACGGACCAGACUCCUACGGGAGGCAGCAGUGGGGGAUAUUGGACAAUGGGAGAGAGCCUGAUCCAGCAAUGCCGCGUGAAUGAAGAAGGCCUUAGGGUUGGAAAGCUCUUUUACCCGGGAUGAUAAUGACAGUACCGGGAGAAUAAGCUACGGCUAACUCCGUG